AUGGUGGUUAGCCUUGUCAUCCCUUCGCUCAAUGCCCUAAUUCUGAUACCAUCUCGUCCCACCUCAUUUUUGUAUCUGAUCCUGCACUACCAAUGCUGGGCAUUUUCUAAUGGAAAGGUGCAUAUUACUCACCGUUUUCAUCUUGUCAAGAUAACCCCUCAAACCUUUUUUGUCUCAUACUGUCUCCAAGUAUCAACACCAGGUUACUUCUCCCUUGACUCUUUUUUCCUCACGUGGUCUCCACGUCACCUUGGUUUUAGCACGUUGUCAGUGCCUCAUUGUCAUGUGAUGGCUCAUCGCCGUCUUCUUCAUCUCUUCCUCUCCUCUUUGUGCUAUGGCAGUGGCCAGCUGCUAAACAGGUUGCUUGUAUCCUCCCUCCUCUCACCCAUCCUUCCUCAGUUUCACUCACAUUGGUGUGGCUUCCAGUAG
rnacentral:rRNA from 1 species